rnacentral:piRNA from 2 species
UGUCUGAUAUCAAGGACUCUGAGG